rnacentral:ribozyme from 11 species
AUAAUGAAUGAUUGACAUUAAAGUGGAGAAAAUAGUUCAGCUAGGCUAAUGCUACCUCUGCUCAUGUCAUUUGCAUUUUCUUUCUUUUCCUUUUUUUUUUUUCCUUCUUUU